ACUGACAGGAUAUAGAAUACACCUGGACAACAUCACUGACAGGAUAUAGAAUACACCACCUGGACAACAUCACUGACAGGAUAUAGAAUACACCACCUGGACAACAUCACUGACAGGAUAUAGAAUACACCUGGACAACAUCACUGACAGGAUAUAGAAUACACCUGGACAACAUCACUGACAGGAUAUAGAAUACACCACAUGGACAAUGUGUCUGACACAGAUUUAACUGUGUGGACAACAUUACUGACAGAUUCAAACCAGGUGGACAUCAAUCUGUCUGAUAUGGACAGGAGACAGCCUCACUGCUCUGAUGACCUGCAGAGAGGAGAGGAGACAAACAGACAGAGAUUCAAACCAGGUGGACAUCAAUCUGUCUGAUAUGGACAGGAGACAGCCUCACUGCUCUGAUGACCUGCAGAGAGGAGAGGAGACAAACAGACAGAGGUACAGAAGACGUUACUUGAAUCACCUUCCACAACACAUGAAUAAUGACAUUUGUAAACCCACUGAUCGUGGUGCCCUUUGUUUAAUGUAUGUCAACAUGACCCCGGGACAACACACUCCUUCUAAGGCUGAGAAACAGGUGUGUGAAAAUGUAUGACAGAUAAUGACGACUAUACGAGGGGGGGAGGGGGGGUUCUCUCUGUAUGUAGACAUUGAAUAAUGUAAUGUAUAGAUAUGACAUCAAUAAGACGAGGUUCUGUAUGUUGACAUCGAAUCAUAUCAUGGUUCUACACUAAAACAUAUUCUUGAAAACAUGUACAGCUUGUAAACCAGAAAUAAAGACAGACCAUAGUUUUAAUUCUGUGUCAACAAACUGUUCUUAAAAAUACCUAUCUGUUCUUCUCGGCUCUGUUGAGACUUGUGGAGUUAUUGGAUUGUUAAAUCUCUAUUUUUUUAAGGUGUGAUAUAUAUAUGUUUUAUAUGAAAAGGGAUUGGUUUAAAACUGGAGAUUUUAUUUGAUAGAUUUAUAACAUUCAAUUAUGUUUUUUUUACAUUUUUUUAUGUUGAUAAAAUGUUUUGCCUUGAUGAGAACAUGGCAGGCAGGUGGAGGGUGACAAAAACAAAAUGGCUUCCUUUCAAAACAAUCAUGUUCCGUGUUCACGUGCUAAUCAGAACUUGGAACUUUCCGACCUGCUGACCGGUUGUGGUUAUUAAACACGUGCCGCGUUCAACCAGUUAGAAAGUCUGAAUUUCCUAGUUUCCGACUAGCAAGUGAACACGACAUUAAACAUCCCAUUUUCCGGCGCAGGGAUAUGACGUCAUCAGUAUGAAUCUGCUGCAGGUGUUUAACUACGUCACCCAGUGUCACCCCGUGUAACUAUGGUUACUACGUCACACAGUGUUAACUACAUCACCCAGUGUCACCCCGUGUAACUAUGGUUACUACGUCACCCUGUGUUAACUACGUCACCCAGUGUCACCCCGUGUAACUAUGGUUACUACUUCACCCCGUGUUAACUACGUCACCCAGUGUCACCCCGUGUAACUAUGGUUACUACGUCACCCUGUGUUAACUACGUCACCCAGUGUCACCCCGUGUAACUAUGGUUACUACUUCACCCCGUGUUAACUACGUCACCCAGUGUCAACCCGUGUAACUAUGGUUACUACGUCACACCGUGUUAACUGCGUCACCCAGUGUCACCCUGUGUAACUAUGGUUACUACGUCACGCAGUGUUAACUACAUCACCCAGUGUCACCCCGUGUAACUAUGGUUACUACGUCACCCCGUGUUAACUACGUCACCCAGUGUCACCCUGUGUAACUAUGGUUACUACGUCACGCAGUGUUAACUACGUCAACCAGUGUCACCCCGUGUAACUAUGGUUACUAUGUCACCCAGUGUCAGGCCCAGUUAAAACAACCUGUAAUGCCCUAUUCAAUGCACCAUUGGGAUAACCCUACUGUCUGACCUGGACUGCAGUACACCAUAUUAUAUAGUGUAGGGAUCUCAUCACAACAACCCAGUCAGAUGUACUGGUAUAGAUAUCACCACCCAGUCAGAUGGUAUAGAUAUCACCACCCAGUCAGAUGUACUGGUAUAGAUAUCACAACCCAGUCAGAUGGUAUAGAUAUCACCACCCAGUCAGAUGUACUGGUAUAGAUAUCACCACUCAGUCAGAUGUACUGGUAUAGAUAUCACCACCCAGUCAGAUGGUAUAGAUAUCACAACCCAGUCAGAUGUACUGGUAUAGAUAUCACCACCAAGUCAGAUGUACUGGUAUAGAUAUCACCACCCAGUCAGAUGUACUGGUAUAGAUAUCACCACCCAGUCAGAUGUACUGGUAUAGACAUCACCACCAACCCAGUCAGAUGUACUGGUAUAGAUAUCACCACCCAGUCAGAUGGUAUAGAUAUCACCACCCAGUCAGAUGUACUGGUAUAGAUAUCACCACCCAGUCAGAUGUACUGGUAUAGAUAUCACCAUCAACCCAGUCAGAUGUACUGGUAUAGAUAUCACCAUCAACCCAGUCAGAUGUACUGGUAUAGAUAUCACCACCCAGUCAGAUAUACUGGUAUAGAUAUCACCACCAACCCAGUCAGAUGUACUGGUAUAGAUAUCACCACCCAAUCAGAUGAUAUAGAUAUCACCACCCAGUCAGAUGGUAUAGAUAUCACCACCAACCCAGUCAGAUGUUCUGGUAUAGAUAUCACCACCCAGUCAGAUGGUAUAGAUAUCACCACCAACCCAGUCAGAUGGUAUAGAUAUCACCAUCAACCCAGUCAGAUGUACUGGUAUAGAUAUCACCACCCAGUCAGAUAUACUGGUAUAGAUAUCACCACCCAGUCAGAUGGUAUAGAUAUUACCACCAACCCAGUCAGAUGGUAUAGAUAUCACCACCAGUCAGAUGGUAUUAAUAAUACCACCCAGUCAGAUGUACUGGUAUAGAUAUCACCACCCAGUCAGAUGGUAUUAAUAAUACCACCCAGUCAGAUGUACUGGCAUAGAUAUCACAACCCAGUCAGAUGUACUGGUAUAGAUAUCACCACCCAGUCAGAUGGUAUAGAUAUCACCACCCAGUCAGAUGUACUGGUAUAGAUAUCACCACCCAGUCAGAUGGUAUAGAUAUCACAACCCAGUCAGAUGUACUGGUAUAGAUAUCACCACCCAGUCAGAUGUACUGGUAUAGAUAUCACCACCCAGUCAGAUGGUAUAGAUAUCACCACCCAGUCAGAUGUACUGGUAUAGAUAUCACCACCCAGUCAGAUGUACUGGUAUAGAUAUCACAACCCAGUCAGAUGUACUGGUAUAGAUAUCACCACCCAGUCAGAUGUACUGGUAUAGAUAUCACAACCCAGUCAGGGGGGCAGUAGGGGGCAGUAGGGGCAG
ensembl:lncRNA